UCCUCGGUAGCUCAACGGUAGAGCAUUCGGCUGUUAACCGAAGGGUUGUAGGUUCGAAUCCUACCCGAGGAGCCA
rnacentral:tRNA from 2 species